UACGUAGGGUGCGAGCGUUAAUCGGAAUUACUGGGCGUAAAGCGUGCGUAGGCGGUGAUGUAAGUCAGGUGUGAAAUCCCCGGGCUUAACCUGGGAACUGCAUUUGUGACUGCAUCGCUGGAGUGCGGCAGAGGGGGAUGGAAUUCCGCGUGUAGCAGUGAAAUGCGUAGAUAUGCGGAGGAACACCGAUGGCGAAGGCAAUCCCCUGGGCCUGCACUGACGCUCAUGCACGAAAGCGUGGGGAGCAAACAGG
rnacentral:rRNA from 1 species